rnacentral:rRNA from 1 species
GGGGAAUGUUGGACAAUGGGCGCAAGCCUGAUCCAGCCAUGCCGCGUGAGUGAUGAAGGCCUUAGGGUUGUAAAGCUCUUUUGUCCGGGAAGAUAAUGACUGUACCGGAAGAAUAAGCCCCGGCUAACUCCGUGCCAGCAGCCGCGGUAAUACGAAGGGGGCUAGCGUUGUUCGGAAUCACUGGGCGUAAAGCGCACGUAGGCUGACUUUUAAGUCAGAGGUGAAAGCCUGGAGCUCAACUCCAGAACUGCCUUUGAUACUGGGAGUCUCGAGUUCGGAAGAGGUUGGUGGAACUGCGAGUGUAGAGGUGAAAUUCGUAGAUAUUCGCAAGAACACCAGUGGCGAAGGCGGCCAACUGGUCCGAUACUGACGCUGAGGUGCGAAAGCGUGGGGAGCAAAC